GCUCAGAUGGAAUGGCCCUCCAAGUGCCUCUCAUCUUCCUCCCAGGACCAGAGGGCUUGCUGGUGCACCUUCUUCUCUAGGCAAGAGCAAAGUGGAAGAGGAAACACUCAAAGCCUCCUAAGUCCAGAGCUUGCAAACGGAUGGUGGUUUGACUUGUAAAGAGAUAAAGUCUGUAAAAAUAAAGCAGAGAAGACCUUCUUCAGGUAUCUCAAGGAAAAAUUUGAGUUGUCUGGAUAAACUGGUAACUAUCUUUGCACCUGAAAUCAAAGGCUGUGUCUCUUGGUGGUGAUGGUGCCUAUGAAGUAGUCUGAGAAGGAAGAAAGGAAGCUCAGGAGCUGCACCAGCUCCUCUGCUCCAGGUUGGCUUCUUCGUGUCAGAGUUGCUACACAAAUUUUGGAGGUAUAAAGAAACAUUCUCUACUGUAGCAAUAGAAGAGGAAGCCAUAGCGUGGCAAAACUUGAAAGCUUUCUUUCCUACUCCAUCCCUUCCUGAGGAACCUCUUGAAUCAGUUCAAGCAAAUUCAAUUAAUUAAAAUUUGAGUAACAAAAAAUGGGGUGUACUUUCAAUAAAGAUAGAGUUA